rnacentral:rRNA from 1 species
CCUACGGGAGGCUGCAGUGGGGAAUAUUUGGCAAUGGGCGCAAGCCUGACCCAGCAACGCCGCGUGAAGGAAUAAGGCUCUCCGGUUUUUAACCCCCUGUCUGAGGGACGAAGAAUGUGACGGUACUACAGGAAUAAGCCACGGCGAACUACGCGCCAGCAGCCGCGGGAAUACGUAGGUGGCAAGCGUUAUUCGGAUGUAUUGGGUGGAAAGGGCGUGUAGGCGGGAAAGCAAGUCAGAUGUGAAAACUCAGGGCUCAACCCUGCGCCUGCAUUUGAAACUGGUUUUCUUGAGGGCUGGAGAGGCAAUCGGAAUUGCGUGUGUAGCGGUGAAAUGCGUAGAUAUACGGAGGAACAACAGUGGCGAAGGCGGAUUGCUGGACAGUAACUGACGCUGAGGCGCGAAAGCGUGGGGAGCCAACAGGAUUAGAUACCCCAGUAGUC